rnacentral:rRNA from 1 species
GCAUAUCAAUAAGCGGAGGAAAAGAAACCAACAGGGAUUGCCUCAGUAACGGCGAGUGAAGCGGCAAAAGCUCAAAUUUUAAAGCUGGCACCUUCGGUGUCCGCGUUGUAAUUUUGUGAGGCAUCUCCGGGUAGGGCGCCGGCCUAAGUUCCUUGGAACAGGACGUCAUAGAGGGUGAGAAUCCCGUGCUUGGCUGGCUGUCCCCGUCCAUGUGAGGUGUCUUCGACGAGUCGAGUUGUUUGGGAAUGCAGCUCAAAAUGGGUGGUAAAUUUCAUCUAAAGCUAAAUAUUGGUGGGAGACCGAUAGCGCACAAGUAGAGUGAUCGAAAGAUGAAAAGCACUUUGAAAAUAGAGUUAAAAAGUACGUGAAAUUGUUGAAAGGGAAGCGCUUGAGACCAGACUUCGGUGGGGAGUGAUCAGCUGUCCUUCUGGGCGGUGCACUUGCUCCCCUCCGGGCCAGCAUCGGUUGGGACGGCGGGAUAAAGGUCCCGGGAAUGUGGCUCCUCUCGGGGAGUGUUAUAGCCCGGGUGAAUGCCGCCAGCCCCGACCGAGGACCGCGCCUUCGGGCUAGGAUGCUUGGCAUAAUGGUCUUCAGCGACCCGUCUUGAAACACGGACCAAGGAGUCUAACAUCUAUGCGAGUGUUUGGGUGUCAAACCCUUACGCGAAAUGAAAGUGAACGGAGGUGGGAACCCGCAAGGGUGCACCAUCGACCGGUCCCGAAGUCUUCUGAAGGAUCUGAGUAGGAGCAUAGCUGUUGGGACCCGAAAGAUGGUGAACUAUGCCUGAAUAGGGUGAAGCCAGAGGAAACUCUGGUGGAGGCUCGCAGCGGUUCUGACGUGCAAAUCGAUCGUCAAAUUUGGGUAUAGGGGGCGAAAGACUAAUCGAACCCAUCUAGUAGCUGGUUCCUGCCGAG